UACGUAGGGUGCAAGCGUUAAUCGGAAUUACUGGGCGUAAAGCGUGCGCAGGCGGUUUUGUAAGACCGAUGUGAAAUCCCCGGGCUUAACCUGGGAACUGCAUUGGUGACUGCAAGGCUUGAGUGUGUCAGAGGGAGGUGGAAUUCCGCGUGUAGCAGUGAAAUGCGUAGAUAUGCGGAGGAACACCGAUGGCGAAGGCGGGUCUCUGGGCUGACACUGACGCUCAUGCACGAAAGCGUGGGGAGCAAACAGG
rnacentral:rRNA from 1 species